rnacentral:rRNA from 1 species
UACGUAGGGGGCAAGCGUUGUCCGGAAUCAUUGGGCGUAAAGAGCUCGUAGGCGGUUUGUCGCGUCUGCUGUGAAAACUCAGGGCUUAACUCUGAGCUUGCAGUGGGUACGGGCAGACUAGAGUGCGGUAGGGGAGACUGGAAUUCCUGGUGUAGCGGUGAAAUGCGCAGAUAUCAGGAGGAACACCGGUGGCGAAGGCGGGUCUCUGGGCCGUAACUGACGCUGAGGAGCGAAAGCAUGGGGAGCGAACAGG